GACGAACGCUAGCGGCGUGCUUAACACAUGCAAGUCGAACGAACUCGACCUUCGGGUCAUAUGGGUUAGUGGCGAACGGGUGAGUAACACGUGAGAAACCUACCCCAAAGUCGGGAAUAACUCAGGGAAACCUGUGCUAAUACCGGAUGCCCUUUAAAGAUCGAGUGGUCAUUAAAGGAAAGAUUUAUCGCUUUGGGACGGUCUCGCGGCCUAUCAGCUAGUUGGUGAGGUAACGGCUCACCAAGGCAUCGACGGGUAGCUAGUCUGAGAGGACGAAUAGCCACACUGGGACUGAGACACGGCCCAGACUCCUACGGGAGGCAGCAGUGGGGAAUAUUGCACAAUGGGCGAAAGCCUGAUGCAGCGACGCCGCGUGGGGGAUGAAGGCCUUAGGGUCGUAAACCCCUUUCAGUAGGGACGAAAAUGACGGUACCUACAGAAGAAGCUCCGGCCAACUACG
rnacentral:rRNA from 1 species